UUAAGCGACUAAGCGUACACGGUGGAUGCCCUGGCAGUCAGAGGCGAUGAAGGACGUGCUAAUCUGCGAUAAGCGUCGGUAAGGUGAUAUGAACCGUUAUAACCGGCGAUUUCCGAAUGGGGAAACCCAGUGUGUUUCGACACACUAUCAUUAACUGAAUCCAUAGGUUAAUGAGGCGAACCGGGGGAACUGAAACAUCUAAGUACCCCGAGGAAAAGAAAUCAACCGAGAUUCCCCCAGUAGCGGCGAGCGAACGGGGAGCAGCCCAGAGCCUGAAUCAGUGUGUGUGUUAGUGGAAGCGUCUGGAAAGGCGCGCGAUACAGGGUGACAGCCCCGUACACAAAAAUGCACAUGCUGUGAGCUCGAUGAGUAGGGCGGGACACGUGGUAUCCUGUCUGAAUAUGGGGGGACCAUCCUCCAAGGCUAAAUACUCCUGACUGACCGAUAGUGAACCAGUACCGUGAGGGAAAGGCGAAAAGAACCCCGGCGAGGGGAGUGAAAAAGAACCUGAAACCGUGUACGUACAAGCAGUGGGAGCACGCUUAGGCGUGUGACUGCGUACCUUUUGUAUAAUGGGUCAGCGACUUAUAUUCUGUAGCAAGGUUAACCGAAUAGGGGAGCCGAAGGGAAACCGAGUCUUAACUGGGCGUUAAGUUGCAGGGUAUAGACCCGAAACCCGGUGAUCUAGCCAUGGGCAGGUUGAAGGUUGGGUAACACUAACUGGAGGACCGAACCGACUAAUGUUGAAAAAUUAGCGGAUGACUUGUGGCUGGGGGUGAAAGGCCAAUCAAACCGGGAGAUAGCUGGUUCUCCCCGAAAGCUAUUUAGGUAGCGCCUCGUGAAUUCAUCUCCGGGGGUAGAGCACUGUUUCGGCAAGGGGGUCAUCCCGACUUACCAACCCGAUGCAAACUGCGAAUACCGGAGAAUGUUAUCACGGGAGACACACGGCGGGUGCUAACGUCCGUCGUGAAGAGGGAAACAACCCAGACCGCCAGCUAAGGUCCCAAAGUCAUGGUUAAGUGGGAAACGAUGUGGGAAGGCCCAGACAGCCAGGAUGUUGGCUUAGAAGCAGCCAUCAUUUAAAGAAAGCGUAAUAGCUCACUGGUCGAGUCGGCCUGCGCGGAAGAUGUAACGGGGCUAAACCAUGCACCGAAGCUGCGGCAGCGACACUAUGUGUUGUUGGGUAGGGGAGCGUUCUGUAAGCCUGUGAAGGUGUACUGUGAGGUAUGCUGGAGGUAUCAGAAGUGCGAAUGCUGACAUAAGUAACGAUAAAGCGGGUGAAAAGCCCGCUCGCCGGAAGACCAAGGGUUCCUGUCCAACGUUAAUCGGGGCAGGGUGAGUCGACCCCUAAGGCGAGGCCGAAAGGCGUAGUCGAUGGGAAACAGGUUAAUAUUCCUGUACUUGGUGUUACUGCGAAGGGGGGACGGAGAAGGCUAUGUUGGCCGGGCGACGGUUGUCCCGGUUUAAGCGUGUAGGCUGGUUUUCCAGGCAAAUCCGGAAAAUCAAGGCUGAGGCGUGAUGACGAGGCACUACGGUGCUGAAGCAACAAAUGCCCUGCUUCCAGGAAAAGCCUCUAAGCAUCAGGUAACAUCAAAUCGUACCCCAAACCGACACAGGUGGUCAGGUAGAGAAUACCAAGGCGCUUGAGAGAACUCGGGUGAAGGAACUAGGCAAAAUGGUGCCGUAACUUCGGGAGAAGGCACGCUGAUAUGUAGGUGAAGUCCCUUGCGGAUGGAGCUGAAAUCAGUCGAAGAUACCAGCUGGCUGCAACUGUUUAUUAAAAACACAGCACUGUGCAAACACGAAAGUGGACGUAUACGGUGUGACGCCUGCCCGGUGCCGGAAGGUUAAUUGAUGGGGUCAGCGCAAGCGAAGCUCUUGAUCGAAGCCCCGGUAAACGGCGGCCGUAACUAUAACGGUCCUAAGGUAGCGAAAUUCCUUGUCGGGUAAGUUCCGACCUGCACGAAUGGCGUAAUGAUGGCCAGGCUGUCUCCACCCGAGACUCAGUGAAAUUGAACUCGCUGUGAAGAUGCAGUGUACCCGCGGCAAGACGGAAAGACCCCGUGAACCUUUACUAUAGCUUGACACUGAACAUUGAGCCUUGAUGUGUAGGAUAGGUGGGAGGCUUUGAAGUGUGGACGCCAGUCUGCAUGGAGCCGACCUUGAAAUACCACCCUUUAAUGUUUGAUGUUCUAACGUGGACCCGUGAUCCGGGUUGCGGACAGUGUCUGGUGGGUAGUUUGACUGGGGCGGUCUCCUCCUAAAGAGUAACGGAGGAGCACGAAGGUUGGCUAAUCCUGGUCGGACAUCAGGAGGUUAGUGCAAUGGCAUAAGCCAGCUUGACUGCGAGCGUGACGGCGCGAGCAGGUGCGAAAGCAGGUCAUAGUGAUCCGGUGGUUCUGAAUGGAAGGGCCAUCGCUCAACGGAUAAAAGGUACUCCGGGGAUAACAGGCUGAUACCGCCCAAGAGUUCAUAUCGACGGCGGUGUUUGGCACCUCGAUGUCGGCUCAUCACAUCCUGGGGCUGAAGUAGGUCCCAAGGGUAUGGCUGUUCGCCAUUUAAAGUGGUACGCGAGCUGGGUUUAGAACGUCGUGAGACAGUUCGGUCCCUAUCUGCCGUGGGCGCUGGAGAACUGAGGGGGGCUGCUCCUAGUACGAGAGGACCGGAGUGGACGCAUCACUGGUGUUCGGGUUGUCAUGCCAAUGGCACUGCCCGGUAGCUAAAUGCGGAAGAGAUAAGUGCUGAAAGCAUCUAAGCACGAAACUUGCCCCGAGAUGAGUUCUCCCU
rnacentral:rRNA from 1 species